GUGCAGGGGACGGCUUCCCCGGAUCUCGCAGGACAGCGAUUUCAGGUACAAAUUUGUUCUUCUGUUCUACAUUAGAUCUGACUAAAUUAGUUUCUUGGACUACAAUCGUGGGGGUCACUGUGUGCAUCUUAAGUCCAAACUAUUCGUUGUCCACCACAGAUUUCCAUCCGUUGUACUAGAUCUUUCAUCGUGAACUCUAGUUUCUUCAAGUAAAUCAUUUCUGUGCUGGUUGGCCGGUGUGUACAUCUCAGUUCUUCAUUGCAAAUUGUUGGUUAUACACGACAGAUUUAUAGUGCUAAUUUGGUCGUAUGAGCUACUUUGCAGGGUCUGCUCUAGUGAGUCUUUUGUUGCCAGAUAACUAGCACAUGCUUCAAUACUGACCUCUCUUUAUGAAGAAACAUAUAUCAGAUGCAUCUUGAUUUGUCCCACACACAAAAAAAAGAUGCAUCUUUGAUUUGUUUGCCAACUAAACGGUGCAAAAACUUCAUAUAAAUAGCUCAGUCUUGGAUGAAAGUUACAGCUGUUUGUGGACUUAAAAGAGAUGCUAGUGCGGAAUAAAUGAAGAGGACGUUGUUAAUUAGCUGCUACCAUCCACUGUUUUUUUACUGCUGGUUUGGUGUUUGCGCCUUAAGUGCCAAUCGUUGGUGAUGCACUAUAGAUUUACAUUGGUUGGUAUAAGAUGGUUUUCCCCCUAGGGUUUGCUUAUGUUUUUGCCUUGAUAACUAGCUCAUUAUUUAUUCUUUGAUGUCUUCUCUAUAUUUAAAAAUAGUAUACGCAUCAUGUUGACUUACCUGCCAACUAAUCGUUGCAAAAACUUCACGUGCAUAGGUACAUGGGCAUGAGAUGAGAAUCACAAUUGUUGUGGAGGAAGCGAAGAAUGUCUUGUUAUUUGGCUGUUGCCAUCCAUGUUCUUUUGGGUUGCACAAUGCAAUAAGUGUUUCUCUCCGCAACGAAUAUAUUAGAUCGAGCAUCAUGUCAUGUACACCAUAAGAUUUUGAUGUCUUCAUAGUCAAUGUCUACCGGUUCGAUCAAGCUUCUAUUUAUCAACUCAUUAAAGUAACCCUCUCCUAGCUCAGAUGGUCCAAUUUCUAGUUUACAUGAUACAUAAAACAUUCAGAUAUCCAUCUCCAUAUGAACUAGUCUUUCUUAAUUUUGUAAUCUUCUGGAUAUAUGCUUACAUAUAAUAAAUGAUGUGAAGGUAGAUCAUAGAACAACAACAUAAUCUUUAGUCUCAAGCAAGGUGCAGUAGACUAGAGAUAGAAUGCAAUAUGUGUCACAUACACAACAACAACAUGGAAAGUAGCAAAAAAAAAUUGGUAAAUGAGCUCCUGACUUGUAGAUUAUGUCAAAGGGAUGAUCUAGAGUCAAGCUUCUUUUACUACCAGUUUUGAUCUACCUUAUCAUCUAGAAGAUUAGUUAUUAUAUCUAAGUAUGUUUUCAGAAGAUUAGAAGAUUAAGCAAAGUCACUUGAUAUGUAAAUGGAUAGUUGAAUGUUUUGUUUAUCAUGAAAACAAGAGAUUAGCUUAUUCGAGAUCGGUGAUAGAGUUUCUCAACGAGACCAUAAAUAGAAACAUGAUUUAACCAACAGACAUCAAUGUUGACGAAGGCAUGGAAAAAAAAUCUUAUCAUGUACAUGAUAUGAUGAUUGAUCCCAUAUAUUUUUGCCAAGUGAAG
rnacentral:lncRNA from 1 species